rnacentral:rRNA from 1 species
AACGACUCUCGACAACGGGUAUCUCGGCUCUCGCAUCGAUGAAGAACGUAGCGAAAUGCGAUACUUGGUGUGAAUUGCAGAAUCCCGUGAACCAUCGAGUCUUUGAACGCAAGUUGCGCCCGAAGCCAUUAGGCUGAGGGCACGUCUGCCUGGGUGUCACGC